AGAACGAACGCUGGCGGCAGGCUUAACACAUGCAAGUCGAACGGUUGUAGCAAUACAGCAGUGGCAGACGGGUGAGUAACACGUGGGAACCUUCCUAGGGGUACGGAACAACUCAGGGAAACUUGAGCUAAUACCGUAUACGUCCGUGAGGAGAAAGUUUUAACGCCCCUAGACGGGCCCGCGUAGGAUUAGGUAGUUGGUGAGGUAACGGCUCACCAAGCCUACGAUCCUUAGCUGAUCUGAGAGGAUGAUCAGCCACACUGGGACUGAGACACGGCCCAGACUCCUACGGGAGGCAGCAGUGGGGAAUCUUGGACAAUGGGCGCAAGCCUGAUCCAGCCAUGCCGCGUGAGUGAAGAAGGCCUUCGGGUGUAAAGCUCUUUUACCAGGACGAUAAUGACGGUACCUAGGAGAAUAAGCCCCGCAAACUUCGUAGCCAGCAGCCGC
rnacentral:rRNA from 1 species